UACGUAGGGCGCAAGCGUUAUCCGGAAUUAUUGGGCGUAAAGGAGCUCGUAGGCGGUUUGUCGCGUCUGCCGUGAAAGUCCGGGGCUCAACUCCGGAUCUGCGGUGGGUACGGGCAGACUAGAGUGAUGUAGGGGAGACUGGAAUUCCUGGUGUAGCGGUGAAAUGCGCAGAUAUCAGGAGGAACACCGAUGGCGAAGGCAGGUCUCUGGGCAUUAACUGACGCUGAGGAGCGAAAGCAUGGGGAGCGAAACAGG
rnacentral:rRNA from 1 species